rnacentral:lncRNA from 1 species
GUUUUUCUGUUCAUUUCCUCCAGAAAGUUGAGGACUGGUUGUGUAUUUCAGGGUCAGAAGAUAGACAGAAAUCUAUUCCGCUAAAAUUGAGUUUUCUGAAGAAAACUGCAUCAACUCAGCUGACCAGAAGAUCUGAUAACUGUGACCAAGCUUAUUUGUAAAGAUUUGCUUCAUCCAUGCAAGGGAAAAACAGAGCAGCUGGCCAACAGCUAGGAAAGUCGGCAAGAAUCAAACAGAAGACUUUCUGAAACAGACAUAGAGUGUACUUCUCCCAGAAUACAACAAUAGGACUUCUCUG